CAUUAUUGAAUAAACUUGGUUGGGUUGUUGCUGGCUUUUCGGAGCAUGUGCACGCCUAGCGCCAUUUUUACCACCUGUGCACUUCUUGUAGAUUUGAAACACCUCUCGAGGCAACUCGGUUUGAGGACUGCUGUGCGAAAGCCCAGCUUUCCUUGCGUUUCAAGUCUAUGUUUUUACAUACCCCAUAAGAAUGUUUUAGAAUGUCAUUAAUGGGCUUGAUAGCCUCUAAAUUAAUACAACUUUCAACAACGGAUCUCUUGGCUCUCGCAUCGAUGAAGAACGCAGCGAAAUGCGAUAAGUAAUGUGAAUUGCAGAAUUCAGUGAAUCAUCGAAUCUUUGAACGCACCUUGCGCUCCUUGGUAUUCCGAGGAGCAUGCCUGUUUGAGUGUCAUUAAAUUCUCAACCCUUUCAGCUUUUGCGAGUUGGAUUGGCUUGGAUGUGGGGGUUUGCGGGCUUCUCAGAAGUCGGCUCCUCUUAAAUGCAUUAGCGGAACCUUUGUGGACCAGCUUUGGUGUGAUAAUUAUCUACGCCAUGGUUGUGAAGCAGCUUUACAUGGGGUUCAGCUUCUACCGUCCAUUGACUUGGACACUUAUGACAUUUUGACCU
rnacentral:rRNA from 1 species